rnacentral:lncRNA from 7 species
GAUGUCUGCUGUGUGAUUGUCCCAAAGCUUCCUGGGCUGAUGGGAAGCCCUGAGGAGCAUCGGGACCUGCAGAGAACCUCCUCCUGACUGAGGGAGAAACCAGGUGAUGGCUUGCUGCACUCCUCCCUUGUUGGACGGUGAGCAUCACCACACUGCAGGGCUUUCCUUUGCCAACACAGAACUCAUGAAGGCAGCAGAGGAGCAAGGCAGGGAUUUUCUACUUCACGCAGAUGCUGGGAAGAUAGAGCUAAAACCUCUCUCCUCUGCAGCUUUAGUACAGAUCUCAGUAGCUCCUCCUGCAUGGGAUGAUAGCACAGCCAAGUCAGCAUGGUGUCGUCUUGCAAAUGGAUUCUGACGAUAAUCACAAUUAUUUUUCCUGCUGGGGACAAACUUCUGCAGUGGCAGUUUCAUCUAUUGAUGUUGGACCUAAUGGACCCUUGAGCACGGACAGAGCUCGGACGGAGUACAACCCACCAUCCUCAUGGCCAUCUUGAGCCAGCUCUCAGAGGGGAAUCUUUUAUAGUUAAAUGUAUAUGGCCAUGCAGUGUUAGUUACAGCUUCCUUUCAGAUGCAGAUAUACAGCAGCUUUGGUCUGGGUAAGCAUGAAGGGAGAACAGAGUACACUUGAGUUGCUUUUGUUGUGAGUUUAUAGAAAGCUUUGACCUUAUAGGGAAUAGUACAGCUUUGCUCUGUCUGUUUGCACUCUGUGUUGCUCAGUGAUGUUGCUUAUCUCUCAGCAUGCUGUUUCAUUUAUACAUGCAUUUCUAAUAAUCCUGUCCCCGUGCUUCAGUCCCUUCCCCAUGUUUCUCAUGGCUCCAGCCUCUGCACUGCUGGCAGCUGCUCUGGGUCCAAGCACCAACAUGCAGAACAACCCCAUGCUCUUGCCAUCUGCAAACACAAGCAAUAGUUUUUCUCAGAGAAAGGUCUUUGCCACUCUGAUCCAAGUAGCACUUCAUUUCCCCUGUUAGAAAUGCCUGAGAGCAAAGUGGGAAAAACUUUCCCUAAAUAACCCCGACGCUGAACAAUCAUUGAAAUGCAUAUCUCUUAUUUCACUGCUUCCCCUCCCCUCACCUGGUAAACAGUGACUUGGCCAACACCUGGUGCCUCUCUGCUCCAUCACUGGGGUGGUUGGUGCUGCUCGUGCCCUCUGGAUCCCUUAACCUGAUUUUUCCACCUGCAGCUGUAUGGCUACCAAUGGGAACCCCCCCCCCCCCCAAAACCCAGCCUGCGUGGAACAAGUGUGUUUCAUGGGGCUGGUUUUGGAGAGCCCAUUUGAGGUAUGGGAUCCCCCGAAGUC